AGCUGACUGGCCAUGGCCCUGUCAGCUCUGUGGCAGCGUUGUGUGAGCUGGAGCUCAACCAUAGCCCAGCUCCUGCAGCCGUUUGUCUCUCGCGGAACCUCCUGCCCCACAGGAUCAGCCAGCCUCGGCCAACAGCCUGGCCAGAAGCAGCAGCCCUUGCCAGCUCCCUCUGCCCCACCAGCAGGGACACGGACUCAGCUGCCUCACCAGCCCCCU